rnacentral:rRNA from 1 species
UGGGGAAUUUUGCACAAUGGGGGAAACCCUGAUGCAGCGACGCCGCGUGAUUUAGAAGGCCUUCGGGUUGUAAAAAUCUUUUCUAUGGGAAGAAAAUGACAGUACCAUAGGAAUAAGGACCGGCAAAUUACGUGCCAGCAGCGGCGGUAAUACGUAAGGUCCGAGCGUUGUCGGGAUUCAUUGGGCGUAAAGGGUACGUAGGCGGGUAAGAAAGUUAGAAGUGAAAUCCUAUAGCUAAACUAUAGUAAGCUUUUAAAACUGCUCAUCUUGAGGUAUGGAAGGGAAAGUGGAAUUCCUAGUGUAGCGGUGAAAUGCGCAGAUAUUAGGAGGAAUACCGGUGGCGAAGGCGACUUUCUGGCCAUAACCUGACGCUGAGGUACGAAAGCGUGGGUAGCAAACAGG